AGUUCUUGUGAGGAGGGGGAGGGAAAGGGCCAGUGGCGGCAGAAUAAGCCGCUUACCAUUUAAGGAAGGGCAAGUGGAGCUUAAAAGGGAGCUUGAGAAGCCCAGGCCUUUGGAAUCAUUGGGUGGUGUCAUUCAUCAACACAGAGUCGAUUAGGAUGCUAGCACUUUUCUGGGUUGUGCGGAAAACUUUCAAUAGAUGCCAUGGAGUGGAAGCUAAUUGUUAGACUAGUAAACAGGUAAGAUCACCUCAGCAAAUCUGUACUUUUUAAUCUAUACUCUGGAUCUUCCUGCAUGAGCCUUUUUCAUUCUCCUAGAUUUUAAAUUAAUGAACAAACAUAAGCGUUCCGGGGAAGAAUCUGAAAGGAAAACUACAGGCUUGCACAAUCCUGCCAUGUAGCCACAGCCUCCACUAAACAUCCAC
rnacentral:lncRNA from 1 species